AGGAGGAGAGAAAACCUAUAAGAAUAUUCCUCUAUCAAUCAAAAGAUUCCAGUGAGUAAGCAAUACCAGUUUCAAAAAUAAGGGAGAGUAGGAAAUAAUAAAAAAAAUUUUUCAAGAAAACCUCUCGGAGUUUACAGACAAAAAUUUACAUCUGAAAUGGCCUAAGCAAACUCUUAACUGCAGUAGAUGAAAACAGACAGACGCUAAGAAACAUCACAGUGAAAUUGCAGAAAGGAUGGAAAAGAAGAGAGACCUUGAAAACUUCAAGAGGCAAAAAACAUGGGCCUGGAGGCUAGAAGACAGUGAAGCAAUGCCUUCCGAAUUCUAAGGAAAAAAAUCAGUAUUUCCAACACAGAGUUCUAUAUUGAGUCAAGAUGAGAGUAAGUCCUAGGGUAGCCUAAGACAUAUCAGAGUUACAAUGUUUUCCUUUCCAUGUUCCCUUCUUCAGGAUACUGUUAGACAAACUGCGGGGGAAAUGAUGGAGAAAACCAACAACAGGGAAACAUGGGAUCCAGGCAACAGGGAAGCCUUGUAAAAUUAUGCAGUAGGAGAGAGAGGCAGAGGGCUGCCCAGAAUGAGGAGAAGGAGAUCCGGGACGUCAGCUCUGCCCCAGGUGUGCAGGGAACCAGUCUCCGUGUGGCAGCACGGAGGGCUGUGGGAGAGUCUGUGCAAAGAAGUGAAGUUGGUGGAAUAUCCGAUGUGCUUGAAUGUAUUCAGAAAGACUUAGAUUCUGUGCAGAGUUUUAGAAUGAUUUAAAAUGAGUACAAUAUGGGGCUUCCCUGGUGGCGAAGUGGUUAAGAAUCCGCCUGCCAGUGCAGGGGACAAGGGUUUGAGCCCUGGUCCGGGAAGAUCCCACGUGCUGCGGAGCAACUAAGACCGUGAGCCACAACUACUGAGCCCGCCUGCUGCAACCACUGAAGCCCGCGCACCUAGAGCCCAUGCUCCGCAACAAGAGAAGCCACUGCAAUGAGAAGCCCGCGCACCGCAACGAAGAGUAGCGCCGCUCGCUGCAACUAGAGAAAGCCCACAUGCAGCAAUGAAGACCCAAAGCAGGCAAAUAAACUAAAAAAAAAAAAAAAAAAAAAUCAGUACAACCAAAGUAAGACAUUAUUUAUUCCACCGAAAUCUUAAAUAUCCAUUCAAGAAAAGUAAUCACAGUCUACUAAAUGCUCACUUGUGACUAGCAUUUCCGUCAUCAUCAUAAGGCAAAUAUUGCACAGAGAGCUAAUCAAAAUUACAAAACUGAUAGAUGUAUAAUUAUAACUAUUUUGGAAAGACAGGGGUGUGUGAAAGAAAAACCAAUUAACUAAAGAUGAUACAUAAAACUGAAAGCAAAGGAGUAUUAAAGGUAUGCAUUUUAGAGACAUAGAAGAAACAAUUAGAGAAUCAGCUUAAGAACUAAAAGAGCAUCUCUCUGAGAUUCAAGAGAAGGGGGACAUGGAAGAUUGGGGACAUCGGUCUAGAUAUCAAGUCUUGUAGAAGUAUUUUACUUUUUAAAACUAUGUGCACAUAUCCAUUAGCUAAAAAUAAAAAAGACAACCUAGUAGAUGAGACAAUGGCCUUUGGCCUUAGGAAUUUUUCUGUUAAGAAGAGUCACAGAAAUGGAGCAGCAGUUGGAAGGAAACUGUACACAGAGUGGUGGAUGUUUAUGGGAGAAUUUUGUUUUGAUUUAUUUAUUUUUGUUUGAUUAAUUUUAAUGGGAGGAAUUGCAGCAUGUUUGUAGGCAGGGAUGAAGGAGCAGUAGAGAGUGGGAAACUGAUGACACAGGGGAGGAUGGAGUCGGAUCCUGUACCCACGCUGAGGGGCAGGCGUAGACAGGAGAGGACCAUCCAUCAUCACUGGUGGGAAGGUGAGAUACAGGUGCAGAUGUGGGAAUAGUGGAGAAGGAGGAUGUAAUUCUCACCUGAGUGCUUUUUUUUUCUGAUGGAGGGGUCUGAGGGAAAAGGAGGAAAUGAGAAAUCGCCCUCUCAGGGGUGUGAGAGUGAGCUGACUGGGAAAUGGCGUCUGCAGAGUGCAGGGUGGGGGCCACUGAGGUCUGGGCUGUUCAGCUUAGAGAAAUUUCCAGCUCUUGGGCAACAACAGGAGGAUGUAUAAGAAACGAAAGAAAAAUGCAACAAAAUAUCUGCAAAUGUGAGGAUUACAUUCUUUUUACUUUGUCAUUUAUCACUUUUGACACUUUAUUACUUGCUUUACAGUGAACAUACAUUAUAUUCUAUAUUAUACGUUACACAUAUACAUCAUAAUAAGAAUUCAAAAGCUUUGCUUAAAUUUUUAAAAGGAAGGCAAGUGGGCAGAAAAAGUGAAGAGCUGUGGGCACAGAGCUGGACGUGCCGGGCUCCGUGCCUGAGCUCUGGGCAGUGAACUCACACAGCCUUUUCUCCUUUUCUCAGGACCGUGUUUUCUUUGGAGGCCAAGCAGGAUUUUUCCCUUCUUUUUUCAGUGUGGUCACUUAUUAGGACCUUGUCACCUCUUUGAUGCUUUUAAGAUAGUUUUUAUAUUUUACAUGGCAUUUUCAGCUAUUUUCAGUGAGCAGAAUUCUCCCUACAAUCCAGCCCAUCUUCUCCAGUAAUGGAAUUUCUGUGGCAGAAUAGCUCAGUUAAAAGACUUUGGG